rnacentral:rRNA from 1 species
UACGAGGGGUGCAAGCGUUGCUCGGAAUUAUUGGGCGUAAAGGGCAGGUAGGUGGUCUCAUUUGUCUGAUGUGAAAUCCUUGGGCUUAACCUAAGAAGUGCGUCAGAAACGGUGAGACUUGAGUGCUGGAGAGGUGGGUGGAAUUCCCGGUGUAGCGGUGAAAUGCGUAGAGAUCGGGAGGAACACCAGAGGCGAAGGCGGCUCACUGGACAGUGACUGACACUCAACUGCGAAAGCGUGGGGAGCAAACAGG